AACAACCCAAGAACAAAACAAAGCUGGCAGGGAAUCAGAGCCAGAGUCUGUCACAGGAAAAGAAACCCAAAUGCUUCAUAAACGCUUAGAUAGUUCCUGACUUCACUGGGGACUCACGAAAUAUGGUGACAUGUUCAAAAGCCUGCCGAGAGGUUAAACAGGAAAUAUCACAACAAACACCUCACACAUUGUUGGGGUGAGCAUACACUGGCACAACUCCUUCGGAAGGAAAUUACAAAACAGCCUCAAAUAUUAGAAAUGAGGAAGACGAAAAGAAAAAACACGUUUGAGCCAGGAACUGUUUGGAGACUCUGUCCUUGACACAUACUCAAAUCCAAAUCAAGAGGUCAUAGGAGAAUUUGGAGUGCUACCUGAAGAGCUAAAAAGGGAGGAAGAGAGAGAGUUCAAAACGGAAGGCACCAAACAAGACCAAGACAGUUCGUUUGUAUUUCUGAACUGACAGCGUGUAUCCUGGAGAUGAAGGAUCCGCAGAGCACUGUGACAGAGGACAAGUUCAAGUGUGAAGUUCUCCCCUGUCUAUAACAAGAAUGCCCCUGACUCAACAGCAGGUGCCCUCUGAGGUGAGUCAAGACCUUGUUUGUCAUUCCCACCACUGACUUGGACCAUACAACCCUUCCAUCUUCACCCCGAGAGCAUCAGCAGCCACUUCUGUGGCCCUGGAUUCUCACAGAAAGCACGAAGCUUGCAUUCAUCGUCUACUCCAAUGCGUUUCUGACAGUGGGUGGCUGGGAAAGAGAGAUUCAUCUUCAUCCUGACACCGCCAACCACCAACACCAUGUAAAAGAGGUUGUCAUUUCAUCUCAACGAGCACUGACUGUAUCUGGUUGGUUUGUUUUUACCAACUUGAUUGACAUACAGACUUUACUGGGACACAGGUAGCAUUCUAUAUAAAUUGUUUAUUCAGAUCUUGGAAGAUUAUAUGCUGCUUUUAAUCCUUGUCUUUCAAGCAUGUCACAUGACAGCACUAAUGAAUGAAAGUACCACCGCAUUGCUGGGUUUUUGUUUGUUUUUGAGACGGGGUUUCUCUGUGAAACUUCCCUGGCUAU